rnacentral:rRNA from 2 species
GCAGUCGUACCAUGGAUAACCGUCGAAGGUGGUGGAUUAGUGGCGAACGGGUGAGUAACACGUGGGCAAUCUGCCCUUCACUCUGGGACAAGCCCUGGAAACGGGGUCUAAUACCGGAUAACACUCUGUCCCGCAUGGGACGGGGUUAAAAGCUCCGGCGGUGAAGGAUGAGCCCGCGGCCUAUCAGCUUGUUGGUGGGGUAAUGGCCUACCAAGGCGACGACGGGUAGCCGGCCUGAGAGGGCGACCGGCCACACUGGGACUGAGACACGGCCCAGACUCCUACGGGAGGCAGCAGUGGGGAAUAUUGCACAAUGGGCGAAAGCCUGAUGCAGCGACGCCGCGUGAGGGAUGACGGCCUUCGGGUUGUAAACCUCUUUCAGCAGGGAAGAAGCGAAAGUGACGGUACCUGCAGAAGAAGCGCCGGCUAACUACGUGCCAGCAGCCGCGGUAAUACGUAGGGCGCAAGCGUUGUCCGGAAUUAUUGGGCGUAAAGAGCUCGUAGGCGGCUUGUCACGUCGGAUGUGAAAGCCCGGGGCUUAACCCCGGGUCUGCAUUCGAUACGGGCUAGCUAGAGUGUGGUAGGGGAGAUCGGAAUUCCUGGUGUAGCGGUGAAAUGCGCAGAUAUCAGGAGGAACACCGGUGGCGAAGGCGGAUCUCUGGGCCAUUACUGACGCUGAGGAGCGAAAGCGUGGGGAGCGAACAGGAUUAGAUACCCUGGUAGUCCACGCCGUAAACGUUGGGAACUAGGUGUUGGCGACAUUCCACGUCGUCGGUGCCGCAGCUAACGCAUUAAGUUCC